rnacentral:rRNA from 1 species
AGUGAACGCUGGCGGUAGGCCUAACACAUGCAAGUCGAACGGCAGCACAGUAAGAGCUUGCUCUUACGGGUGGCGAGUGGCGGACGGGUGAGGAAUACAUCGGAAUCUACUUUUUCGUGGGGGAUAACGUAGGGAAACUUACGCUAAUACCGCAUACGACCUACGGGUGAAAGCAGGGGAUCUUCGGACCUUGCGCGAUUGAAUGAGCCGAUGUCGGAUUAGCUAGUUGGCGGGGUAAAGGCCCACCAAGGCGACGAUCCGUAGCUGGUCUGAGAGGAUGAUCAGCCACACUGGAACUGAGACACGGUCCAGACUCCUACGGGAGGCAGCAGUGGGGAAUAUUGGACAAUGGGCGCAGACAUGAUCCAGCCAUACCGCGUGGGUGAAGAAGGCCUUCGGGUUGUAAAGCCCUUUUGUUGGGAAAGAAAAGCAGCAGGUUAAUACCCCGCUGUUCUGACGGUACCCAAAGAAUAAGCACCGGCUAACUUCGUG